CCUACGGGUGGCAGCAGUGAGGAAUAUUGGUCAAUGGACGAGAGUCUGAACCAGCCAAGUAGCGUGAAGGAUGACUGCCCUAUGGGUUGUAAACUUCUUUUAUAAAGGAAUAAAACGAGGCACGUGUGCCUUUUUGCAUGUACUUUAUGAAUAAGGAUCGGCUAACUCCGUGCCAGCAGCCGCGGUAAUACGGAGGAUCCGAGCGUUAUCCGGAUUUAUUGGGUUUAAAGGGAGCGUAGAUGGGUUGUUAAGUCAGUUGUGAAAGGUUGCGGCUCAACCGUAAAAUUGCAAUUGAUACUGGCAGUCUUGAGUACAGUUGAGGUAGGCGGAAUUCGUGGUGUAGCGGUGAAAUGCUUAGAUAUCAUGAAGAACCCCGAUUGCGAAGGCAGCUUACUAAACUGUGACUGACAUUGAUGCUCGAAAGUGUGGGUAUCAAACAGGAUUAGAUACCCGUGUAGUC
rnacentral:rRNA from 1 species